UGAUGACACUGUCUCCGGAAUCUCUGUACUACUCUCUGUGAUGACUGUGUUUUGAACCCUUUUCCAACUGAUGGCUGUUUUGUCUCUGC